UACCAGCACCCCGAGUGGUCGGGACGUUUAUUGGGCCUAAAGCAUCCGUAGCCGGUUCUACAAGUCUUCCGUUAAAUCCACCUGCUUAACAGAUGGGCUGCGGAGGAUACUAUAGAGCUAGGAGGCGGGAGAGGCAAGCGGUACUUAGUGGGUAGGGGUAAAAUCCGUUGAUCCAUUGAAGACCACCAGUGGCGAAGGCGGCUUGCCAGAACGCACUCGACGGUGAGGGAUGAAAGCUGGGGGAGCAAACCGG
rnacentral:rRNA from 1 species